AGCAGGACAAACAGAAGUUCAAG
rnacentral:piRNA from 1 species